UACGGAGGGUGCGAGCGUUGUCCGGAAUCACUGGGCGUAAAGGGCGCGUAGGCGGCCUGAUAAGUAGGGGGUGAAAUCCUGCGGCUUAACCGCAGGGCUGCCUUCUAAACUGUCGGGCUAGAGCACGGUAGAGGCAGAUGGAAUUCCCGGUGUAGCGGUGGAAUGCGUAGAGAUCGGAAGAACAUCAGUGGCGAAGGCGGUCUGCUGGGCCGUUGCUGACGCUGAGGCGCGACAGCGUGGGGAGCAAACAGG
rnacentral:rRNA from 1 species